GUAGUCUAGUAGUUUUGGUUCAACAGAGCUGCAGUAGAAGUGAAACUCCCCGAGAGUCCUUGUUUCUAUACAGUAUGUAUAGAAUGAGGCUUGGCCAAUCCCCAUCCAGAUCCUCAACCCUCCUAUUGUUCCCUAAGCUGUGACUUCAUCACCCUGAUCACCUGGGAGGUGAGAGAGCUGGGGCAGGGAAUUCUGUGUACACUCUCAGAUCUCAAAUGGCGGAGGUUGAACCAGGGGCCAGUUUAUUCCCAAAUGGUGUUCCUUGGCUCUAUGCCCUGUUUGCUAUGCUUUUUGUAUUUUUUCUCUUUGUCAUGUUCUCUCCCUUUUUACUUGAGAUAGACCAACAUAUAAAGAAAUUCUUGCUCAGAUGCAGGUAUUCUCUGCAUAAUGCUCUACAUAAGAAUAAAGAAAAUGAGAUAAAGAUGGACCAUCUGGGAAGGCCAGGCUGUCCUCUGGAGUCACCAAGGAGAGAAGUUCUGGGAAGGAAGGAAGAUGGGAUGGGAAAAGAUCCCUCGCUACUUGUGAGGGUAGCAAGAGAGCCCAGGUGUUCUGAGGUUGAGAUCUGUACCCCUGGACCGUCCGUUUGAGAGUGGCUGAGGCUCUAAGGAAUCACCUGUGACAUCAUAUCCCAGACAUGAGAGGGCUUCUUAGACCCUCAUUAUGUAUGUUUAUAUGAAAAAAAAGAUAAUAAAUAUUUUGAGA